CUACGGGUGGCAGCAGUGGGGAAUAUUGGACAAUGGGGGAAACCCUGAUCCAGCAAUGCCGCGUGUGUGAAGAAGGCCUGCGGGUUGUAAAGCACUUUCGGUUGGGAGGACUGCUUCUAGCACUAAUAUUGUUGGAAGUUGACGUUACCUUCAGAAGAAGCACCGGCUAACUCCGUGCCAGCAGCCGCGGUAAUACGAAGGGGUGCAAGCGUUAAUCGGAAUUACUGGGCGUAAAGCGCGCGUAGGCGGCUAGAUCAGUCGGGUGUGAAAGCCCCGGGCUUAACCUGGGAACUGCAUCCGAUACUGUCUAGCUUGAGUACAGGAGAGGAGAGUGGAAUUCCACAUGUAGCGGUGAAAUGCGUAGAUAUGUGGAGGAACACCAAUGGCGAAGGCAGCUCUCUGGCCUGAUACUGACGCUGAGGUGCGAAAGCGUGGGGAGCAAACAGGAUUAGAUACCCCUGUAGUC
rnacentral:rRNA from 1 species